AAAAAAAUGCAGUAGUGGUUACCAGCGACUCAGAGAAUACCGAGUUUCAUCAACAAUGUAUCUGCAGCAAGAGUAAUGUCUCCUUGAAACUUAGUUACAAAAGAUCUCAAGCUAAGUGCUCCUACCUCAAAAUAAUAUAUUUCUUUUUAAAGAGGAAAGCACAAGGGCAGGGGAUAUGGCUCAGUGUUUUAAGAGCACUUGCUGCUCUCCCAGAAGACCUGAAUUUGGUUCCCAGCACCCACAAGUGUCUCACAACUAGACAGUUGUAACUCUUGGCUCCAGGGGACCCAACACCCUCUGGCCUCCACGGGAACCUGCAGGCACAUGGUCUGCACGAACUCAGGGAGACACUUACAUUUAUACAUUGAAUACAAAAUGAAUAAGCUUAAAAAAAAAAAAAGGAAAGCGGACAAUACAAUUCCCAGCCUUAUCACCCAGCAAUGCUUAGAGUCCCCUACAGCAGGACACUCAAGUGAGGUCACAUCCUGUCAUACAAUUCUUAGGACACUCAGGUGAGGUCAUGUCCCUUGUUACACAAUUCUUAGUUGUACCUGACACAAUCGUUCCCAGUACCUGCUGUUAGUUUAUUGUAGAUGUUAUUUCAAAGAGGGCCAUCACCGAGUCAAAGAGAUGGCAGGGUUUUAAAGCCUUUCCUUCAAGUCACCCUCCAGAAAACUCCACCUGCUCUCCUUCCAGCAAGUGUGUUCAAGGUUGUGCCUGCCCACUGACCUCUGCUAGGACUGGGAAUUGUUAAAAAGUUAUGAUUUUUUUUUUACAUAUUUUUUUGAUUCCAUUGACCCUUGCUGAAGUUGAGUAUAGUUCCCUGGUAUUUCUGUGUAUUUCUUCAUGGGUGAAAUCCCCUGUUUAAAUAUGGUGCUCACUUCCCCAUUUACCUUCCGUAGUCUUCAUCUGCUCCUUGUAGAUUUGUAAAAUAGAUUUGUAAAAGUGUAGCACACACCAGGCGUUGGUGGCACACGCCUUUAAUCCCAGCACUCGGGAGGUAGAGGCAGGCGGAUCUCUGUGAGUUCGAGACCAGCCUGGUCUACAAGAGCUAGUUCCAGGACAGGCUCCAAAGCCACAGAGAAACCCUGUCUCGAAAAACCAAAAAACAAACAAACAAACAAACAAACAAAAAAAUCAGUGUAGCUCACGAGUAUCUAUCCACUGUAUACAUUGCACAAACUAUGGUCCUGGUUUCACUCACAAUUCUAAUUCAGGCCCCCAGAGAUCUGUAUUUCUGGUCUCUAACGGGAUUGGAGCUUCUUCACAGUCUGUAUGUACAUUGCUUUCACAGACCAGCUGAGAGCCCUGAAUGCACUUCUAAGUAUUCAACGGGUGUGUGUGUCUGCUACACACAGGCAGAUGGGUGCAAAAGGAGUUCUUAACUGGUCUAGAUAAUAAAAAGCCUGAGUCAGAUAUUAAGGGAAAUGCUGAGACAUCAGAGAGAAGGAGCAAGACACAGUCACACCUUACCUCCUAAGCAACUCAGCAGAGACGAGAUCAAUUUCCUGUUUUUCCCUGCUUAUAUCCUGUUUCUGCCUCGCUAUGUCACUUCCUGUCUGUCUGUACAGACCUCCAGACCUCUAUGGUUAGCUAGUGGCUAGCUCCAUUCUCUGACCCCCUCACCCCAGACAGGCUUUAUUUGUGCAAGAAAGAUAUCAUCACAGUUGGGGUCC
ensembl:lncRNA